rnacentral:rRNA from 1 species
UACGAAGGGGGCAAGCGUUGUUCGGAAUUACUGGGCGUAAAGGGCGCGUAGGCGGCUUAUCAAGUCAGGCGUGAAAUUCCCGGGCUCAACCUGGGGGCUGCGCUUGAUACUGGAUGGCUUGAGUUUGGGAGAGGGAUGCGGAAUUCCAGGUGUAGCGGUGAAAUGCGUAGAUAUCUGGAGGAACACCGGUGGCGAAGGCGGCAUCCUGGACCAACACUGACGCUGAGUGAGCGAAAGCCAGGGGAGCAAACGGG